AACUGAACCGGACCUGUCAUUUAUCAAUUGGUUGCGUCAACAGCAUUUAUUUUAUAAAAAACUAGUUAAGUUGUCCAAAGUAAUUUAAUGAUACCAUUCACAGCGUUAUUCAAAUGGACCUUUUCACUGACGUAGUGAGGCAAUUACGUGCAUUUGCUAGCCUGUUCCAUUUACGUGUUCUCCGUAUGCUAAAGAGGAGUCUCGCCUAGCCUCUGAAGGAAGUGACUUGGAAGGAUCAGUCCUACCAAGGAAGUAUCCUUGACAUUGAGAAACGCCUAGUGUUCUUUGCUCCCUUCUCCCUUAGCACAGGGCAUCUGUUAAAGUUUAGUUCAAUUUGAGUUCAAUUUAGUUCAAUGUGAUGUCCACUUCGCAGUGCACUUACGGUCAAAUAGAACAAAUGUCCGAAGCGAUAAGAGAAACAUACAAAAUGGGCAGAACGGUGGGACACAGGGACAGGAAUUGAGAACAAGUGUUCUGGGUGCAUUUCUGAGUUAAUUCUAAAACCCAGAAUCUGGUACUGACAAUACAGCAUUUUGCAUCCUUGGUCAUCAGUGAAAACAGAUGCUGUUUGCAGCUGGAUGGUGAAUUAACAGGGCCAUGUUUGCUAGUAAAAGCUUGUCCCCCUGGUUCAAAGCACUAACAUAACACGUAAGACAGGUGUCCUCAACUCUGCAGACUUUAGUUCCAACCAGGAUUAAACACACCUGCAUGCAACUUUGUAGUAAUCCUGAAGACUCGAUUAGCUUGUUCAGGUGUGUUUGAUUAGGGUUUGAGCUUGAAGUUGAGCUUGAAGACCCCUGAUUUAAGCAAUAGUAAUAGUGGUGCUUGCCUAAGAAAUCUAAUUUGAUAAACUACAAAAAAAUCUGAAAUAGUAUAAUUUCACCUCUCUAUCUACAUGAGCAAAAAAUAAAUAAAAAAUGCAGUAUCUAUACUGUAAGUGUGCUACAUUGCAGCACAGAGAUCACAGGGUGAAUAUCAUGAAGCGGAGAUGAAGCUGUUAUUUGCUCUACCUCUGCUUACCACCACCUAACUUGGAGCAAACAUGACAAAAGAUCAUCUCCGUGAUCUCCACAUAUCUCCCCACCCUGAGUUUGAGAAGGCAGGACAUUCUGACAGGUGUCAGCAUGCAUCAAAAGACGCUCUCAAUCGGCAUUUGUGAAAAUGGAAAAAUAAAAAAUCCGCUGCUAA